AAUACGACUCUCGGCAACGGAUAUCUAGGCUCUCGCAUCGAUGAAGAACGUAGCAAAAUGCGAUACUUGGUGUGAAUUGCAGAAUCCCGUGAACCAUCGAGUUUUUGAACGCAAGUUGCGCCCGAAGCCAUUAGGCCGAGGGCACAUCUGCCUGGGCGUCACGCAU
rnacentral:rRNA from 4 species